rnacentral:rRNA from 1 species
GUGCCAGCAGCCGCGGUAAUACGUAGGGGGCGAGCGUUGUCCGGAUUUAUUGGGCGUAAAGAGCUCGUAGGCGGUUCAACAAGUCGGUCGUGAGAGUUCAGGGCUCAACCCUGAAAUGUCGAUCGAUACUGUUGUGACUAGGAUACGGUAGAGGUGAGUGGAAUUCCGAGUGUAGCGGUGAAAUGCGUAGAUAUUAGGAGGAACACCAAUUGCGAAGGCAGCUCACUGGGCCGCUAUCGACGCUGAGGAGCGAAAGCUAGGGGAGCAAACAGGAUUAGAUA